ensembl:snRNA U4 U4 spliceosomal RNA
AGCUUUGCACAGUGGAAGUAUCAUAGCCAAAGAGGUUUAUCCAAGGCGUGAUAAUUGCUGAUAGAAACGUUUUUCCAAUACCCUGCCAUGAGGAGUGGAAAUAUAGUCGACAUUGGCAAUUUUUGGCAGUCUCUAUGGGGA